rnacentral:hammerhead_ribozyme from 1 species
GUUCAGCUGACGAGUCCCAAAUAGGACGAAACAUGCGUCCUGGAU